UGAUACAGGCUAAUUCUGAGAGUGAGGUGGCCUUAUUCAUAAUGGGUUCGUCGCAGCUUCCUUUUAUGUUAUAUCCUCCUGCCAGUGAUCUUCAAAAAAUCCAGGAUUGCUUAUCAUUUAUACAUCUUGAUCCUUGUAGGUUGAAGUUUCGAGAAGCAGUAAGGAUUGCCCGAAUUGGUCUUGCAUCCUCAUCUCCCAAUAAACAAAAGAGGAAUGCAUAAAUGGUGAAUGUUGCUGACAUCUAAAUUAAUGAGAAAAUUGACAGCAACACCGCCCAAAUAAGAGCUAACACAAUUCAACAAACAAAAAAUUUAUUAAGUAUAUGUAGCAAAGGUGAAUCACGGGAUGUUGAAAAGAAGAUAGAUGACCGUGAGUCACGGGAUGUUGAAAUCAGUGCAUCUAUCUCAGCAGCUUCUUUAAAAGAGAUGACGGAUACAAAGAGCUUACCACUGGUAGGCUCAUUCACCGCUGUCUGGUUAUUAGGGAAGUAUUUUAAGUUUUUGACUCUUAAUUUACGGACUUUAGAAGCUAGGUUCUACUGUUAAAUUAUUAAAUUUUUUCUUAAGUUCUUUAAAAACAAUUGUGGCUACCGCAUGUUGUGGCGCAUCCUGAAUGCUUAUAUUCUACAGUUGAGACUGGUCAAGUUUUAUACUUUAGGCAUUCUUCCCCGUGCUGUGGGCUAGAUGGCCUUUAUGAACUUUUAGAACUCUUAAUUUUUAUAGCUUGCGAUAAUUGGUACUUUUUUUCAUCUUCA